rnacentral:tRNA from 1 species
UGUUUCAAUGGUCUCCCCCACAUUCCUAAUCUGGGGGUCGCGCGUUCGAAUCGCGCCGGGAUCACCA